GGUGGGCACUUGAGGUGUUCUGACGAACAAUGAUGUACCUAUGUCUCGUAUAUCGUAUAUAUCGUGCCUUCUGUUCCGACUUCUGCGACUUGUCCGAUUCGAAUUGGCUUUUCACUACACUUCACGAGAACGAUGAGUAACGCGCGUCUGACAACCGAACAACUCGAGCGCUCAACCUGAACUGACGGACCAGGCAACGUUUACCAUUCCUUAACAACUUGGUGUGUCGCUGCUGUUAAUGGGAUCUUCGGCAAUAUCGCACUCGUAACCUGUUGCCGUCGUGCCAAGUGUUGCUGCUGCAGAUGUUGCCGCUGUUGCUGUUGCUGUUGCUGAUGUCGCUGUUGUCGCCGUUGCUGCCGUCGAUGUUGCUGCUGCAGAAUGCUUUGACCGCUGGCAUUGUGGGUGCCGAUCUGGAUACAUGUGAAUGCUCCUCAAAAAACAAUCGAUGCAAAAGCAAGCCACACACAUCAGACAGUAGCACAGGCAAACGAACAACACAAAUCCAACUAGAACUGACAGGAUUAUAGUCAACAGUAAAUUCAUUCUGUGCUAAACAGAUCACUUUAAAUUUCACUCUGACAAGUGCUGACAUUAGCUUUGCCCCGCAGACACCAACAAUUAUCACGCCGAUCGCAGAAUUUAGGUUAGGUGAAAAUUAUACCUGUGUAGGAAAAACAAUACACAUAAAUCUUUACAUGGGUUUUGCGUUACAAUACAUCGACCAUUUAAAGGACUUCUUAAUACUUUUAUGCGAUUUCUGCAAUAAAACAAUUUGGCCUCGUUUACCAGA